GUUGUAGAGAAAUCCAACAGCAAGCCUCUCGGGGUAGUGACACUGCAAAAUGUUUGCAGUCUCUCGAGCAGUCUUAAUCGGCGAGUUGCUCAAUGACCACCCGGUGAAGUCUAUCAGACACACCAUUUGCUCUUGAUCCUCCGGUAAACUGAGGAGAGCAUUCUCUAGGACAUACACCAGAUGCCUGAGUUGGUUGUCAUGUGAGGAUGUGUUCUGCAACCUGAACACGUGGCGACUUCAUGCUGGACGAAUCAUAUGUAUUACUUCGACAAUUAAGCUGCCAAGAGAAAUGAAGAAGAUGGAGUGGAGCUCACCCAAAGAAUCUCCUCUGGCUUGCAUGCAUCGGUGCAGAAUGUUAAGCUACUUCCGGAUAAAGGGCCAAUCGCAGCUCUCAGCUCUUUGAUCUGUUCAGAAGAAUACUUAUAUAUGGAAGCUUAUAGAGGAAUCCGCUAAUCCAACUAAUAUAUGAAAGCUUAGAUAUGAUCCAAUGGCUGCUUGCACAACAUGAUCAUUGAUCCUAUGACCGAAAAACUGGCUUAUUAGCUAAUUUAUUUCAACAAAAAAUAGAACUGUGAUUGAAUUCAUAAAUAGUAGACAAUCAUAUUUCUGAUAAAAGACAUAAAGAGUCAAUAUCUGAAACUCUAGUAGGUGAUUGGAAAUCGGCAUACUCAAUUUCUUUUACCUGUGAUGCCGGAAUGCUCAUCAUUAUCAACUACAUACCAUACGCAAAAUUAUACUCUGAAGUCAUAAACUUUUGAGUCAUUUAGAUAGAGGAUUAUGAAGACGAUAUGCUUAGAUGUGUUUGCUUACCUUUUGUUCUUGAUCCUUA